CGCGCUGCAGGCGUUACUGGGUAUUCAGAAAGGGCGUUUUUUCUGCCUUCUUCCCUCAGACAACAAUGAAAACCCAACCAUCUUUAAUAACUCCGGAUAAGUCAUUAUUGAAAAAGCAAUGCAGCGGCAGGCUUCCUGUUGGCAGAGUUUCUAGUCAAUUGCCAGUCCACCCAAAGUGUCGAGGGCUUCUUAGAUUUUGGGGGCUUUCUGAAGAAGUGAAACAUUGACAUUGCCGCUGGAGAGGCCCGCGCCGCAGUCCCUGACGUACCAGCACCAGAGCCCGACACCCUGCUUCCGGGUUAAGACACGGCGCCAAGGCAAUGAUCACAGGAGCCCCAGGCCCCACCUCACCUAAGCUGGACCUGCAAAGAAGUUCAGUACAUCCCAAAACUGUAUUGAGCAGUAGAGAUUUAACAAUAAUGUGUCACUAAUAAGUAUGUCAUAUUUGU